GGAUGUGAGGGCGAUCUGGCUGUACCCCACUGAUCGCCAGAGUUGAUUUGGCUGAUCUGGCUAGCCAAGCAAGUGUCCCCUUCCUCCCUCACUGCUCUGUGGAUGUCCCUCUCAAAGCUGUGCACUUGGUCAAAGAGGACAGCCAUCCCAGCUAGAGGAAGACCAUUCUUUAGCCAAGCAUAUCCAAGUAGCUGUACACCCCUGCUAGAACCUCCAGACAGGCUCUCAAGAUUAGACAGAAUAAUCUAAUUAUAUCUGGUUCCAAGAAUUACAGAAGGUCCAGUUCUCAGUUCUUAUAU
rnacentral:snRNA from 1 species